UUGUUGUUGUUGGGAUCUUUGGCUGGGGAAGGGGAGGCGGCGGGGGGAGGCUGAGAGCGGGUCCGAGAGGGCAGCGCUGCUUCCUUCUAACCCCGCGCUCUCGGGCGAGGGCGACAGGCAGGGAGGCAGAGGAGUUAUUUUUUCACACACACACCCCCGACUGCUCUUUCCCCUUCCCUCUGCCUGCUCCCUCCCCCGCAAACUUUCUGUGCCAGGCGGGGGCCGCGGCAGAGGCCGCCCGCGCCCAGCUGUCAAAAACACCCAGCGACCGCCGCCAACUUUGUGGCGAGGGCGGCCGGCGGCGCCGCGCGGGGCUGCCGCCCCUCAGCCUCCUCUGCCCCCUUUCGCCUUCCCGUCCUCCGCCCCGCUGCUCCUCGAGCGGCUGCAGUCCCUCCCGCUGCUUCUCCUCUUCCUUAUCGGCUCCAGCCGCUGCUGGAGCGAGCGAGAGGGAAGGCGGCAAUGCGAAAGAAAGCUGGAGGGAGGGCUGAGAGGGGGCAGAGAGACGGCGGAAAAUGGAGCGUAGCCCAGAGGAGGGGCUGGAGACUGAGAUGACCUAGCAGAAACUGAGAAAAAUUGAGAGAAGAUGGGAGAUAGCCGUCUGCACUCCUGAUUUUUCCUGCAUCUGCUGUGGACUGAACUCACAACUGGGCAUGAAGCUAUUGCAAAUUAGAGUCUGAGUAGUAACUGCAACUUGAGAAGAAUGGAACCAUAAUUCAGCUAAAUUGUGAUGUCUCCAAGAGUGUGGUAUUUCUCUGCUGUCUUGAUCCUGUUUCUCACAGAAGGAAUUUAUGCUUCACUUGAAUCUUGCCUAUUUUGCAAACCUGUGUGGACACCUUUGGAUGUGUGGUCCAGAGGACUUACCUGCAGAGCAAACCAAGGUGAGGUGGGACAUAAGGCGCCAGUCCUGAAAGAAGCUAUAGCAAGAUACCAACUGAAAUCUUCCAUAUUCUGAUGGGUGGCAAGGUAAGACAGAACACUUCUAGAGAAUGGUAUAAUUGAAAUGUAAAUGAAGAAAGAGUUUAGUGGUAGUAAGAGUCUCCAACAGAGAUAUUAUCCCCAUUCCUGAAAAUGAAACCUGUUUUCUGCAAUCCGCAAUUUGUACUGGGACAAAGAAUCCAUUCCAAAAACACCCAUCAAUAUUUUGGACCUAUGCCAUCAUGAAGUCCUAAUCUGAUUAUUCAUUUUAUUUAGGAGUAUGGCUGUACCAUCCAUAUACAUACUGAAUAGUCAUACUAAGUUCCUAUGCUAAGUGUUACUUAUGACAGGUGGCCUGGUUUAUAGCAUGACUUACAAAGGGAUAGGCUCCUACUUUCUAUUAGAGAUUCUUCUUUUCCCUUUUCUCUUUUUAAUUUUUUCUUCUUUUUAGGCAUUUUUGUUUGAGUUUUGUGCUAGCUAGUCUAUCACAUUAUAAUAUUUGGGACAACUUCAACCAUUGUCAAUCUGAUUAGGAGGAAUAUCUGAACAUUUAUUAUAAAAAGGGGUCUAAAUGUUUCUUAGGCAAACUCUAAUUUCCUGGUGGAAUUUGAAGUUUGACAUUAUGUUUGCAGAGUAUCAAGGAUGCUGCUUCUGAAGGACUUCACCUAAACAUAGCUCUGAACCCUAGGGGCUGAGACAGGAUGUGGAAAACUAGGGACCGACCGACUGUAAACCUUUGGUUUAAAUCAGUUGCACAGGAUCACAUGGGAGCUUGGAGACGGGGAUAGAAUCUAAGUCUCCAGGAUGAAGUUUAACUGUUUCAUCUGCUUUAACCUUAGUUCUGUCUUUCUUUUCUCCCUUGUUCAUCACACACCUUAAAACUUUAGCAGAAAUUAAGCAGGAAUAUUAGGAAAGAAGCUCCAUUCAUUAUUAAGGCAGUCUGUUUGGAGAAUGUCAUAGUUUCUCUGUUCUUGAUACAGACACAUGUUGCAGGAAGAAAACAGUACACGAUGAUACAAUUUCAGACGCUGUGUACUCAUCCCAUCGAAGGGCUGAAAUAAUAUUGUGUACACACUUGUAAUGAUAACAUUUCUUAACUUCUGAACAUAUAACUUUCUAACCCCUGCUAGCCAGCUGUCAAAAUUCAGUAUUAAGCUCAUGAAACUAACUCAAAUAACAAUACUGAUACUGUAGUGUUCGGAGUCAAAAAGUAUUUUUGCCAUGGAAGAAGUGAAACAAAAAUAGCUAAUUAUGUUUUCUUUGCCUCUUGCACUAAAAUAUUGACGGUGAUUCAAGGCUUUCCAACACUUCAAUGUUGCUAAGUCCUCCCAGUCAUAAUGGUAGUUUUGGGGAAUGAAAAAAAGUUGUCUGCAAGAUAUCCAUCUUUUUUUCUUUUUGUACUAUAUCCUCUGUACCAAAUAUUUUCUAACACUCUUCUGGAGGUUGCUACCACAGUUUGAUUUAUCCUAAACUUUCCCCAAAGCAUUAGCAGAUGUUCUUUAAGACAAAUAUGCUUCCAGGACUGUGUGAGUUUAGCUGAAAGAAUAUAUAUUAAAAGCAAUAGAUAUAGAUGUUACUUUGUAGUUCUACAAGUUUUUGUAAGGGGCACUAGAAGAUUUUAACCAUAAGCUAAGAAACAAAACUAUUCAACUUUAGAGAUGAAAGAAAUAUGGUGUAGUAAGUUUCAGCAACUUGCUUAUAGUAUUAAAAAAAGUUAAAAUAAAUGUUUUGGAUCUAUUUUUUAGUUCUAUUAUCAUCCUUUCUCCAAUAAGAAUACAUAUGUUUACAUUUAAGAGCUCUCUUUCUCUGUUGUCACUUCCAAUCUUUGUCCAUCAAAAUUGUUUUCUGUAACUUAGUAAUUGCUAGUCAGAGACCACACGUAGUGUUCUAUAUGCAUUCUGGAAUAUGUUUCAGCUUAUCUCAUAUAACACUUGAGAGUAUUUUUCCCAAGUGAAUCUCAAUGUUUUUGAGUUCUCUUAGUGUUUUACCAUUUGUUUUCCUUAUAUUACACCAGUCAAAAAUGAUUGCCUUGGAGAGUUAGUUGUGAGCACGAUGGGAAAGUUUCUCUUUUUUCUUACCCUGUUUAACUGCUUUUGUCUUGAACUAUAAUUGUUGAUGGCAUUUUACUUAUUUCAUCCUGGUAUCUUACAAUGAGUAUGUGUGUUUAGCUUGAUAUCAUAAAUUAGUUUUAACAAAUAAAAUGGCCCAGUCAGAGCUAAUAGUGGCUGGUGGCUCAAUGUCUUGAAAACAACAAAAAUGUCAAAUAUGAUAUGGCAGGGCAAAUCACAAAGUCUUUCAUGUCUAGUCUUGCAAGAUUACUGCUACGACUUCCCUACUUUUAGUAAGAAUUAUUUUUCUGCUAUUCACAUUUUGCUUAAAUGGUGGCUUAAUAUAGAUGUGGCAACUUAAGCUGAAUAUAGUACAGAGCAUUAAAGCAGACUUUAAAUAAUGUGGCAUAGUGAUUCCUCAUCCAUAAUAACUUCUCCAUUCCAUUUUAUUUUUAUUUUUUUAAUAAUUACUUCAGACAUUACAAUACUAUUUGCUCUUCAUGUCAAGAGAAAGAAAAGAAGGCAGAAGAACUGACAGCUUGAUCCUUGCCUUUUUACAAAAGACCAACUUUUAGAUUUUGACCUCUUCUAACAGUGGAUUCAACUACUCUUAAUAGCAGAUACUCAAUAGGUCGUGUUUGAAUUUGAGCUUGAUUGUAACCCUCUCAUUCAAAGAUCUAAUGAAUACCAGGUAUUCUCACUCCUUUUAUUGUAAACACUUUGUUGUGGACAUCUAAUAAACUUCCUGCAUUUGUUCAUUUUGGUGAGGUACAAUUGUAAAAAGAAGGUGUAGGCUUUGCUAUUGGCAUUACUUUAAAUCUUAGGAGCCUGGAGAAAAUAGGAAAUUAAAAUAUUGUGUCCAAAAACUUGUUUCCUUUUUAAAGUAUUUUUCAUCCAUGCACUUCUACCACUGGAUAAUAAGCCAAAUACUGUUCACAAUUGACAGUGCUAUCUGAAUAGAGCUCUGAAUUUCCUUUGUUUAUUGAUGCCACACUUUCAGUUAGUUUUAUUUCACAUCCAAUGUGUUGGUAUUUGACCUUGAACGAAUUUCUCCAAACUAGUGUGUGUGUAUGUGUGUUUGUGUGUGUGUAUGAAAUUAAUCAGAGGAAUUUACUCCACGUACGUAUGGAUGGAUCAGGAAAAUAAGGGAAAUAGUGAACAGUUGUCUAAGUGGUUCUUUUUGAGCCCUCAAAGUAUUUUAGCAUCAGUUUAAACUUAAAAUAUGUGUCUUCCAACGUUGGUAACUCGUAGUUUGUGAGUAUAUAAAUUAAUUAUGCAGUACAUGAGAAUCUUUCAAAGUGUUUAAUUUCAAGGAUAUAAAAAAGUGACUUUCUACUAUUAAAGUUAAUUGCACUUGUGACUAGUACUGUUAAGAAAUACCUCUGUCAGAGUAGAGGUGGAGAUGAUGAGGAUGGGGCAUUGGCUCUAAGAAACAAAACAUUUGAAGGACUGCAAGAAGCUAUUCUUUAUUAAAUAGUUCCACAGAAAGAGUGGCUAUUCUUAGAGUAUGAUCUUCAGUCUGUAGCAGCUGAGAUUUUCAUUGUAAAAUUAUGCUCUAUACACUGAAUAGUUUGUUUUAAUUCUCUUGUUUGUGAUUUCUUGGUGUACCUGGAAAGCUUUCAUGUGCAUGUAUCCUCUAUGACUUCUGUAAAUGCACUGUGUACAAGGAAAACCCAUUUUGUGUUGGAUACACGUAAAUAAAAAAGUUAUCAAUA